AACGAACGCUGGCGGCAGGCUUAACACAUGCAAGUCGAACGCACCUUUCGGGGUGAGUGGCAGACGGGUGAGUAACGCGUGGGAAUCUACCCUUCUCUACGGGAUAGCUCCGGGAAACUGGAAUUAAUACCGUAUACGUCCUGAGGGAGAAAGAUUUAUCGGGGCAGGAUGAGCCCGCGUUGGAUUAGCUAGUUGGUGGGGUAAAGGCCUACCAAGGCGACGAUCCAUAGCUGGUCUAAGAGGAUGCUCAGCCACAUUGGGACUGAGACCCGGCCCACACUCCUACGGGAGGCAGCAGUGGGGAAUAUUGUCCAAUGGGCGCAAGCCUGAUCCAGCCAUGCCGCGUGAGUGAUGAAGGCCCUAGGGUUGUAAAGCUCUUUCAGUGGGGACGAUAAUGACGGUACCCACAGAAGAAGCCCCGGCUAACUUCGUG
rnacentral:rRNA from 1 species